CCCGCCCCCAGGCCGCGCCCCCGUUGGCUGGUUACGGUCAUUCGAAUGCAGGAGGCGGAGACCCCGGUGAUAGCUGGGAGGAGACUCAAGUCUGAUUGGCCAGGGUGCGUUCGAUUCAGACGGGAUUUGGUCCGAUUUGGUCCCAAAUAGGAAUCUCCGCCUACCGGCGUGCUUCCGGCCUACAGUACAAGUUAAUGCUUUUUGAGCAAUGCGGACACCGUCGUUUGUGUGUUUUGUUAAUUCUGAUGAUUUGAAGGAUUUUGCGCGAAUCUGUAGUUGUUUACAUCAGCUCACAGACAAGGAUAACAACAGUUAACAUAAACAGACUCGAGGUUUUUAUACUUGACUUGUAAAUGUAAAUCUGACGCCUUAGAAAUGAACAACGAAACGAUCAAAAAAUGGAAUCAUUUCUGACUCACUUCAACCAGAGGACUGAAGUGGAACGCGAGUGGCUGCGGCAGCUAUUCGGGUUCGUCAGGGACAAUCUGUUCCCGGUUCUCGGACCCGCCGCUGGCAGUCUUUCCCUCGAACAGCUCGCCCUAGCCUUGGUACAGAGAGUGGAACGGGCGGUGGGCUCCUCGCGCGCUAGAUCUCUUCCGCUGAGCUACAGGCUUGUCUCCAUAUCUGAGCUGGUUACCAGGCAACACACACCCUGCUGUAGCAACCUGUCCUGGAGCACCAAUGAGCACAGAGAGUGGGUCAGGGAGGCGGAGCAGGCUCUCCCAAAACACAGGGCUCUGCCACGUGCAAACCUCUUGCUGAUAGGCUGUCUCAGUGAUGGGUGUGGCUUAGGGGGGACAUGUGAUGGAAUGUGGCGUUUGAAGGAUGCCAGUGGAAGCCUGCACUCUGAGCUGCUGAGUCCUUCCCCUCUCUGGCUGGGCCCGCCCCUUCUCUUUCCCUUUUGGAACUACAUCCCCCAGCAUGCAUUGGGCCCAGACCAGGAAGACGGUGGCUACCUGGAGCUGGUUGGCUGUCCCCUACCCCUGACCUCUGAUACUGAGUUGACAUUUAACCCUGCAGGGGUCAACCUUAGGAGCGCUGUGGGUGUCAAAGUAGCAGCAGGACUACUGCAGCAUAGGGUGAAAGGCCUGCGUGUGAAGGUGUAUGGAGAGGUUUGUGCUGUGUGCCCCCUGCUGGACAUCGCCGGGAACUCCUUCUUCUGUCUCUGUCUGAGAGAGGAACAACACACAGUACCAAUACUGGUCACGGAGCCAAGCUGUCUUUGGUGGCGGAGGUGUGUGUGUGUGGGGGUAAGUGUGUGUGUGUCAGGGCUGCGUGUGUGCGCGCUGAGGGGCUGGUCUGGAAACAGAGUUCUGUGUGUGACGGGCCAAUCGUCCCUGAGCCUGCUACCCGACACACUGAUCCCUGACCUGUCUGAGACACACUCACAAGACCACACACCAGACACAUACACCUCUGACGCGGACGGCCAUCUUUGCGAGGAGAGUGGUGCUGGGUCAGCGCUCCCAGGCAGACAGGCAGAGGGAGCGGAUGAAGGCCGUGUCGUCCCUCCUCCACACAACACCAAACACUCCAGAAUCAUCAGCUACAAGGGUGUGCUGACUGGUGUUCUGAGCUCUGAGGCGGGACUUUAUGUGAUAGACGGGAAGGUUGGUCUAUGUCUGGCCUAUCAGCCUAUCCAGAGGCGUGGCUUGAGGCCAGGGGCAGAAAUAGAACUCCAUGAUGUCCAUUUCCUGUACCGCCCAUCUCCCGCCUCCCUACCCAGCAUGCUCUGCAUGUGUCUGCGCUCCAGCCUCCGCAUCACUUCCUUCAGCCGGCUGGGGUCGGAGGUCAGCAGCACUAGCGACAUGCCCAGUGAUGCCUUGUUGCCACGACUACUGCUGGAAAUGAAUCUGGGCGUGUCUCAGUACCUUUGGCUCUGUCAUUGCUGCACAGCUCUGAGAGACAGGCUGGUUCCCCGUUGGGUGAGAGGAGAGCGUGUGUGUGUGGUGGCUGGGAGGCUGCUGGAGUCUGUGUUGACCUGUGAGGGGGUUCAGGGAGGAGGAGAAGGAGAAGCAGGGAGAGACAUCUACAGAGAAAUGCUGCAGGAGCCACACCACUGUCCCCUCACUGAGUACCGUGUGGGUUCUCCAGCGUGUCGGUAUCUGUCAGUGUCGGAGUGUAUCUCUGCCAUGGAGGCAGAGUGCUGGUCAUCUCUGUCCCUGUCCUCCCUGCUGCCGUCCUCUGGCUGCUCUCUGACCCAGGCUGAGCUGAACCCCUCCUUGGCCUGGUCCGUGGGCUUGUCUCUGGGGCAGGACCGGCAGCCCCGGCCGCUGCUGGUCGGAGUCCUGGAUCUCUCUAGAACACACACACUCUGCCUGCGUGACCAGACUGGCAUCCUGACCUGUGUUGCCGUGGAGACCAGUGAGAAAGACUCUGGCCGUCAGAGAGCCGCCAGCAACACGGCCUGGAUAGGUUGUUUGGUGUGUGUGCAGCGCUUCACCAUGGUGAUGGAGAGAUUCAUCCAAUCAGAGUUCCCUUCAUACAGACACCUGGAUCAGGACAAAUACAUCACACACAGACACUGCAGGGUUUAUAUCCAGUUGUGUCUGAACGACCUCCAGAUCCUCAGUCCCUCUGCCUCCAUGGCCUCUCUCCUCAGAGAGAGGAACAGAAUGACACAAGGAGAGAUGGAGGAGAGAAGAGAGGCAGAGGCAGGAGAGAGGAAGAGUAGCCGGGAAGAGGAGAAGAUGGAGGUGGAGGAGGAAGAACAUGAAGGGGGAGAGGCUAAGCGAGCAUGUCUGGAAGACAGAGAGAACAAGCCCAUACUCAAACCACCCGUCGCCAUAGAAACACCUGGAGAAUCUACAUUGCCAGGGGAGCGUCCCUGUGUCUCCGUGGUGAUGCGUGUCAUGGCAAAAGAAGGCGUGGCCUGGAGGAAUGAGGGAAAUGGCUGUGAUAUUGGAGGGGCAGGGCUUUCUCUGUGUUUCUCUGCGAAGGCUGAGCUGAUUGGUCCAGUCCAGAGGUGGGGGUGGGACCCUAAAAACUCACUACUACAGGAGAGAGAGACGGACAGAAAGACAGAGAGCACAAAGGUGGAGUUGUUGUUUGUGAGGUCUUCAGUACGUUGGUUUUCCCUGAUACAACCUGGCUGCUUUUACAGACUCAUCGCUCCAAACACUCAGGAUCCCAGUGUUCUGACUGGCUGCCUUGUUGCUGUGAAGAGUGGUGUAGAGCUGCAUGCUUGCCCUUCGCUCCUGGUGCACUCUGAUUGGAGGAUCCACACCCUGACCCCGCCCCUCCUAACCACACCCUACUCCCAGAUGAUCUCCCAGAAGGUCAUGUCAGUGGCUGAGGUCCUGGACUGCAGCCGUGAUGUGGAGUUGGUCUCCUUCUAUGGAAUUGUCUCUCAGAGGAUCACUUUACAGGACAAAAGAGGACUAACUAAAACAACACAAUACACAGAAGUGGAGACCGGGCUGAGUGUGAGAUUGACAGUGUGUUCAGAAAGCAGGGGGCGGAGUCUGCAGGUGUAUUUAGACCUAAGCCACGCCCCAUACCCUCCUGGCAUCAUUCCAGGAAACACUGUGCUAUUUAGCGGAUUCCAACGCCGACUGUCACGGGUUGGAGGGGUUUAUUGUCGUUCUCUUCCAGUCAGCUGUUUGACUGUUUCGGCCAUGGGAACGUCAAGCCUGUCAUGUGACCCUCCUCCUCCCAUCAUCCUCCUGGGGGUGUGGGCAAUGAGAGGAGCAGGGCAGUGCCUUGUGGGUCGGGUCAAAGGUCAUGUGGUGUGUGUUCUCUACUUGCAACUGCAGUGGACCUGCUCUCUAUGUGACAGCAUCUACACACAGAGGUGUACAAGGUCUCAUCCUCCAUGUGGUUCGACCUCCUCUGUGUUUCAAGCUUUAGCCAAGGCUGUGGUAGAGGAUGGCAGUGGAGAGGCCCAUAUAUGGUUCUCCUGUUUAGCCGUUUCCUGUCUGUUGGGGUUAACCACACCCCAGUGGGAGGGGCUUCAGAGGUCACUGAAGGCCCGAGGUCAUCUUAGGGUCUACACACGGGGGCGUAGCCUGGUGAGUGACGCCGUCUCUGAUGACCCUCUCCUCCAGUACCUGUCCUGUGUGUGUAACAGCCGGACAGUGUGUCGACCUCUGACCCUGAUCUGCACUUUACACCCACGCUCGCACACACCUGCAGCACACAGAGAAGACUCCACCCAGCUGAAAAGGUUUACCAGAGCAGACAGAGAGUUUGUGACCCGGAUGCCCUCCCCUCUCCAACUCAACUGUACCCACAUCCUGGAGGACACGGACAGACUGUAGACACAUCCUGGAGGACACAGACUGUAGACACAUCCUGGAGGACACGGACAGACUGUAGACACAUCCUGGAGGACACAGACAGACUGUAGACACAUCCUGGAGGACACAGACUGUAGACACAUCCUGGAGGACACGGACAGACUGUAGACACAUCCUGGAGGACACAGACAGACUGUAGACACAUCCUGGAGGACACAGACUGUAGACACAUCCUGGAGGACACGGACAGACUGUAGACACAUCCUGGAGGACACAGACAGACUGUAGACACAUCCUGGAAGAGACAGACAGACUGUAGACACAUCCUGGAGGACACAGACAGACUGUAGACACAUCCUGGAGGACACAGACUGUAGACACAUCCUGGAGGACACAGACAGACUGUAGACACAUCCUGGAAGAGACAGACAGACUGUAGACACAUCCUGGAGGACACGGACAGACUGUAGACACAUCCUGAAGGACACGGACAGACUGUAGACACAUCCUGGAAGAGACAGACAGACUGUAGACACAUCCUGGAGGACACGGACAGACUGUAGACACAUCCUGGAGGACACGGACAGACUGUAGACACAUCCUGGAGGACACAGACAGACUGUAGACACAUCCUGGAAGAGACAGACAGACUGUAGACACAUCCUGGAGGACACAGACAGACUGUAGACACAUCCUGGAAGAGACAGACAGACUGUAGACACAUCCUGGAGGACACGGACAGACUGUAGACACAUCCUGGAGGAGACAGACAGACUGUAGACACAUCCUGAAGGACACGGACAGACUGUAGACACAUCCUGGAGGACACGGACAGACUGUAGACACAUCCUGGAGGACACGGACAGACUGUAGACACAUCCUGGAGGACACGGACAGACUGUAGACACAUCCUGGAGGACACGGACAGACUGUACCCACAUCCUGGAGGACACAGACAGACUGUAGACACAUCCUGGAGGACACAGACAGACUGUAGACACAUCCUGGAGGACACAGACAGACUGUAGACACAUCCUGGAGGACACGGACAGACUGUAGACACAUCCUGGAAGAGACAGACUGUAGACACAUCCUGGAAGACACAGACAGACUGUAGACACAUCCUGGAAGAGACAGACUGUAGACAC